GAGUAAACGUUGUGCCGUUAGCUUUUUUCCGAAAUAACACCCUUCUGUAAAUAUCCGUUGCCAUAUUUAUCCAUUUGUAAUUAAAUUAUGGUAUUAACUUGCUACAGAGGAAACAAUAUUUAUAAAGAAUGUUUCUUAACUAUAAAUAUGUACAAUUGUGGGCAUAAACUGUUUCAGAUUUUUUAUUUGAAGGUUUAAGUGGUUUGAUCAUUUCUUGUGAUGUUUUGAGAGUAAUGCAUACAGAAAUAUAAUAAAAUGUGUUGAAACUGCAUGAACAUACUUUUUCCCCCCCUAGCAGAGUUAUUGAAGAGAAUGGGAAGGAGUCAGCUUGAGGCAUGACGAGGGUAUGGAUUGGGGGAGGGGGGAAGUGCCACCUUGCAUUCUUUGGAGGAAGGUCUAUUUAUGCAUAGAGAAUGGGCUAAACUGCCCCUUUGGCAGAAAGUCUCAAAAUUAUUUUCUACAUCCUUUUGUUGGGUAGCUGAGGAUGAAUUAAAUUUUUGGAAAGCCCCUGUGAGGAAUGGCGGCAGGAACCUUCAGAGUGUCUAAUGGCUCCAUUAUCUAAGGGAAUGCCUUUCUUUCUUUCAGCUAUUUGGGCUGGCUUUAAGAGCACUAAACAUUUCCUUAUUCUUUGUUUUCUUUCCCUACCCUGCCCCCUUCCUCUCUCCCUCCCUCUGAAAAGCUGAGGUACAGUUAUUUUUAAUUGCACGUUUAAAACUGAGCCGAGUACUUUGUUUUUGAACUUGGCCCAGUGAUUAUAGUUUAAAGGGGCUCGUUUUUUUUUUUUUCCUUGAUAUUUUAAGCAGAGCUUGCUCAAUAAACCCUGUUUAUCUUAAGCAGCUCUGCAGUGGUGCUCAAGGGAAAGUAAUAAAUAGGAUAUGCUUUAAUAUUUUUUAUUUGCCGUCAUAGAUAGGGAUACAUCUACUCUGAAGGAAAGAAUGCAGCAAAAUUAUUUUAUACAAAGGCUAAUGUUGCCAGGUGGAAGUGAAUAGGAGUACUGAAUUUUCUGGAAUCUUUGCCACCGUGCUGCCCUGCCCCCACAGGAGUUGGUGUGAGUUUUCAAACAAGAUGCUGUAAAGAAAGCAAAAAUAAUUUUAGUAAUAAAAGGAUAGAGAUGGGGGAAAUUAUUUUUUAGUUCCUGAGCUAUCAAGACUUCCCUCCCACUGAGUGUCCCUGUAGCUCCGAUAGGCCCUGGGCUUUGGAGGAGCUGCUCUCAGGGGAGGGAGCAGACCUGGUCAGCUUCAGAGGCUCCUACUGUGCGAUCCGGAUGAGCCAGAGCAGCCCAGGGCUGAGUCCUCUGCGGAUGGAUGGAAGACCGCACGGUCCUUUGCUACCUCAGGGUCAGGCAUGACAGCCCGAGGGAUGUUUGGGAAGAGGUCAACACUCACCUCCCACAGGCCAUGCUACCUGUUCAGCGGCAAGCGAACAUGCAUCCAGCCUGCCUGCUUGUGAUACUCUCUGGGUGACAAGUGCCAGGCUCGCCCUCCCCAGCGGCCCGCGAGCUGCCUAAGCGCCAAUUUCGGAAGCAAUCAACCCUCUAUUAAAAUCAAAUUUAUAACCCCUAAUAAUAUUAAGCAAAAUUAUUAGAAAAAUUGGCAUAUGUUACUGAGCCUUGGGAGAAUUCAUUGAACACACAAGCCAUGAGAAAAAUCGUUUAGGGUUUUUGCCGAGCCCCUUGCCCCUGGGGGAGCAGGCAAAAGAGUCAGAUUAAAUAUUCAUUUGGUGGGCAAGAAGAAAAUGGUUCUACUCAAAUGUUUUUAACCUUUUCAUUGUGGGGCUGAAAACUAUAGUUUUGAGAUAUCACAAAUCUU
rnacentral:lncRNA from 1 species